rnacentral:tRNA from 1 species
CAAUUAGGUAGUCUAAGGAGGAUGUGGGCUUUGGGGGCCUGAGGUCUCUUUGUUGAGUCGGUUGA